CAGCCAGCGCUCUCUAGAAUAUCUAGUUUGAAAGAAAACUGAGAAGUGUCACCUCCAGGACGAUGUGACAAUCUGUAUGCAGAACAGGUUAAACAAAAUACUAGGAGCGAAUCCUACAAUUUAAAUAAAGCAUUGAAUGGUUCCAUUUAAGAUAGUUUAGAUGCUAACCUGUUUACAGGACAACUUCAAAACAACUGGGGAUUAACACUGCUCCAUUCCCCUCCCCCAGGCUCAUCUGAAUUCUAAGUAUAGACCCAUGAUGAAAGAUUUCAAAGGCAAUAGCCAUUGCUCCAAAAUAGCCUGGUUAGUAUUUGCAGAGUGGUUCAGCUCUUUUCUCUGUCCUGCCUGUCAAAAAGAUGCCAUUCCUGUGAUUAAAACUAUUACAGUCCUUCAAAGGUUAUACAUGACUUUCAGGCUUCAGCCUCAAUAGCAGCAGAUGGUACUAAUUUGAACACAUCAUUCCAUGCUUCCUGGAGUAAUCACACAGCUUGCUUAGAUUUUCUAAACAUGACUGAACUGUGAUGAAGCGAUCAACAUUCACUGGCAAGCAAAACUGCCUUACAGGGUGAAACACUGUGGUGAAAAUGCCCACAGCAAAGAUUCUUACUUAGAACCAUUAAAUGUAUCCCCAUGUAUGAACUUCUGCUUUGAAGAAGGUGGAAGAGAUGUUUUAAUCCUACUCCUUCCACUAAAUGCAAUUAAAACCAUGGACAUUAAAUAUAAUGCAAGCAUAAGAAGACUCUGAAAGAUGGAGAGAAGGCAGAGCAACUAGGGAAAUCAGGACCCAAGAAACAAUACAGUGGCAACUAUAAUGGCUUUUACGCUUUCAGCAAUUACUUACUGUUCUCUAAGACUCUGCUCCUGUCAAAUAAUCAAGAUCAUUUUACCUGAUGCUAAAAAACCUGAUGCAGACCAUCUGCCUGGAUUUGAACAUAUUUCCUUCUGCCAGAUUUUGCAUAGCAAUGGUCUGCUACCCACCUACUGGGGAAAUACCUAUCACUCCUUUUGGACCUCUUUGACACUGCCUGUCCUGGCUGCGACAUAUCACCAGCAAUCAGAGUUCAUGGCUGCUUAAAAAGAUACAAAGAAGUAAGAAUGGACAGUGUUAUAAUCAACAGGCAGUCAACAGUUUCUAUUAAGUUGCCAGAUUGAAGGAAAGACGCAUAAAUCUUCAGAGAACAGAGAACAGCCAUCUCUGUGAGCAACCCUGCAGCUCUGAUGAGUCACUCCCUCCAUGCAUGAGAAGGCCUACGUUUGACACUGCUAUAAUCUUUUGGUUUUAACUGGUGUAGUUUAAAGAUCUGUUUUGUCCGUAUUACUUUGAAAUACUAUAAUAGGGAUAUUAUAUGUUCCAUUAGAGUGUUUUAUUUCCAUUUAUAAAAGUGUAUGCUCUUCUAUAUCUUGACCUUGUUUUGCUUUACUUAUGUGAUGACAAUGAUCUACAUCAUUAUUUUUUUGUAAUUGCCUAAUUUGGAUGUAUCAUAGUUAUUCAGCCAUUCUGCUGUAAAAUUAACACUUAGGUUGCUUCCCACCCCUCUUUUAGUUACUAACUGUGACACAGCAAUCAUUCUUAUACAAAUAUCUUUUCAUAAUGGUCCUUGGAUUUCUGUAGGUUAAAUUCCCAGUGGUGUAAUUAUUACAUCAAAUGGGUUGAUUUUUUUUUAAUUUUAAUGAUUACUGUUCUAAAAGUUGUUUCUGUUCCAAAUUAUAAAUUAUUAUAAUUUAGAACCACAACAAUGUGUGAGAGCACACCUUUGGCAAACUCUCAUUACUAGUCUGGAUAUUAAUCUUAAUUACUGCAAACUUGACUCAAAAAAUAUUUUUAAUCUGCAUAUCCCUAACCAUUUGUGAGACAGAAUAGCUUUUAUAUGUAUAUUGGUCAUUUGUGGCCCUUUUUUGCAUAACGUAUGCACUUUCUUUUCUAUAUUUUAUUGUAGUGUCUUAAAUGGAGAAUAUAUAUUAGAGUAGAAAGGCACGUUUUUAAUAUUUAUUUAGUUUUGAGAGAGAAAG